rnacentral:SRP_RNA from 1 species
GCCGGGUGUGGUGGCUCAUGUCUGUAAUCCCAGCACUUUAGGAGGCUGAGGCGGGUGGAUCACCUGAGGUCAGGAGUUCUAGACCAGCCUGGCCAACAUGGUGAAACCCCGUCUCUA